UACGGAGGGGGCAAGCGGUGUUCGGAAUCACUGGGCGUAACGCGCACGUAGGAGAUGUAUCGAGUCAGAGGUGUAAGGCCUGGGCUCAACCUGGGAACUGCCUUUGAGACUGGUACGCUUGAGUCCGGGAGAGGGUAGUGGAAUUCCCAGUGUAGAGGUGAAAUUCGUAGAUAUUGGGAAGAACACCGGUGGCGAAGGCGGCUACCUGGCCCGGUUACUGACGCUGAGGUGCGAAAGCGUGGGGAGCGAACAGG
rnacentral:misc_RNA from 1 species